rnacentral:rRNA from 1 species
UACGAAGGGGGCUAGCGUUGCUCGGAAUCACUGGGCGUAAAGCGCACGUAGGCGGAUUGUUAAGUCAGGGGUGAAAUCCUGAAGCUCAACUCCAGAACUGCCUUUGAUACUGGCGAUCUUGAGUUCGGGAGAGGUGAGUGGAACUGCGAGUGUAGAGGUGAAAUUCGUAGAUAUUCGCAAGAACACCAGUGGCGAAGGCGGCUCACUGGCCCGAUACUGACGCUGAGGUGCGAAAGCGUGGGGAGCAAACA